GCAUUUUUAGUAGAUGUGGUGUUGUUAGUGUGGUUAUAUAUAUAUAUUGAAAAUUUUAUGUUAUAUUCAGAAGAGGAGUGAUUAGGAAUGCUACUAUUGAAGAGAUCGAAGCGGAGAAAUCUUGAUUGAGGAAGAUGCUCACAAGUAUGCCCAGUAUUUGGUGGCUGCUAUAGGUCUCCAAGACUCUACCCCUCUUGAUACUCCCACGGAACUUAAUCUCAAGCUGCACAAAGAAGAGGUCCAAUAGGUUAGUCAGUUCAUGGCCUCUCCUCGACACCUUCAUAUGGUUGCAGUACGACGAAUCAAUCAUUCACUAUGUUCAUGGCACAACUUUGUGGGGAUUUUGCUCUCCCACUGGUAGUUCACUUCAUCUUGUAGCAUACAAUGAUGUUAAUUAUGCCGGGUGUAGUGCAAUUCGAUGUUCUACUAUGAUUUGAUGUACGUUUCUUUGUCCGGCUAUUAGUUUUUGGAAAAGCAAGGAACAAACCAUGUUUCCAAGUCCUCUACUGAAUCCAAAUAUAGAGCCAUGUCCCAAGCUUGUGCUAAGAUACAUUGGUUUUGAGGGCUAUUGGCUGAACUUGGCUUCUUUCUGGGUGGUCUUACUUCCCUUUAUGCAGAUAACAUUAGUGCCAAUUUUUAUUUUAGUCGUUUCAUUUUAA